GUAGAUUAUGCUUUCAUCAGUUAGUCGGUUAGUUAGUUAUCGAUAAGUAGCAUGUGUUUUCAUCUGUCAGUGGACAAGAUUUACCGCGCAACGUCGCUGGCCAAACUCAGAGACGACUGGCUGAGGGCACACAUCAAGGCCUGUGAGGUGAGCGUGAGAGGGUCUCAACCAUCAUCGUGACCUCUUCAAGAAAGAAAAAAACCUCAAAAGUGUCCUCGACAGGUCUUUGAGAAGCAGGCCACAGAAACACCAUAUGGACUCACCUCAGCUUACUCUCCCAGCAGUGUGUCAACUUAGAUGAGAUGAACAAAGAAGUGAGGAAGUCUCUGGAGAAGUGUGACGUCCAGGAGGAUGUGGAAUAUUUCGUCACUUGCUGCCAUCUUAUAUGAGAACUUCUACAGUGGACAGUGGGUCCGUCUCUGCUGCCCUCAGCUGUCAUCAGGGGGACUAUCCACCUAUUACCUCCGCCAAGGACGCUUUCAUCAUCAUUUUUUUUCAUAUUUUGUAGGUAGCUCCCAUCACCUGAUCUAACUGAUAACAUAAGUGGUAUUCUAGUACUCAUUUCCAAUAUAAACAUGUCCUAUAAAUAUGUCCUUUCAAAUACAUGUACAUGUCUUUGCUAUGUUUCAGUUAAUGUAGUUUCGCUUCUGAAGGAGUGGACAAGGCAAAGUCCUUUAAGGAGUCUUUCCAGACAAGUAGAACUACUAGAACAUCUCAAAUGUAUUUAUGGUUAAUCAAAGGCACUUUAAAUGGUGGCAAGUGUGCACUGACUCCCAUUUGACGAGUUUGAAUGUGAUUAGUUAAUUCUGAACACAGCCAGAUCCCAGUACAAAAAGGUGUACACAUUUUGCAACCACAUUACCCCUGUUUAGAGAUAAAUAAAUAAAUAAAGAAUUAAAUAAAUAAAUAAGUCAUUUGAGUUGUACAGGUUAUAGGUCACAUAAAUGCUGGAAAAAGUUUUUAAUUGAUUCAUCAUGGUCUCAUUUUUAUAUAUCACAAAAACAUAAGCAUUUUUAACAGGGGUGUGUAGACUUUUUAUAUCCACUGUAGCUACUUCCUAAAGAUGUGAUGGCCUGAUGCCCAAAC